rnacentral:rRNA from 1 species
GACGAACGCUGGCGGCGUGCUUAACACAUGCAAGUCGAACGGUGAAAGAAGAGCUUGCUCUUCUGGAUCAGUGGCGAACGGGUGAGUAACACGUGAGUAACCUGCCCCAGACUCUGGAAUAAGCGCUGGAAACGGCGUCUAAUACCGGAUACAAGACAGAGCUGCAUGGCUACUGUCUGGAAAGUUUUUCGGUCUGGGAUGGACUCGCGGCCUAUCAGCUUGUUGGUGAGGUAACGGCUCACCAAGGCAACGACGGGUAGCCGGCCUGAGAGGGCGACCGGCCACACUGGGACUGAGACACGGCCCAGACUCCUACGGGAGGCAGCAGUGGGGAAUAUUGCACAAUGGGCGAAAGCCUGAUGCAGCGACGCCGCGUGAGGGAUGACGGCCUUCGGGUUGUAAACCUCUUUCAGCAGGGAAGAAGCGAAAGUGACGGUACCUGCAGAAGAAGCACCGGCUAACUACGUG